rnacentral:rRNA from 1 species
CAGCCGCCGCGGGAAUACGUAGGUGGCAAGCGUUGUCCGGAAUUAUUGGGCGUAAAGGGCUCGCAGGCGGUUUCUUAAGUCUGAUGUGAAAGCCCCCGGCUCAACCGGGGAGGGUCAUUGGAAACUGGGGAACUUGAGUGCAGAAGAGGAGAGUGGAAUUCCACGUGUAGCGGUGAAAUGCGUAGAGAUGUGGAGGAACACCAGUGGCGAAGGCGACUCUCUGGUCUGUAACUGACGCUGAGGAGCGAAAGCGUGGGGAGCAAACAGGAUUAGAUACCCCGGUAGUCCCUGUCUCUUAUAC